AAGUAGCCAAGACUGGUUAGGUUUAAUUACCCCCAUCAAGUUAUUUUAGAUGUCAGUUUCUACAAGCAUUCACAAAUGCGCAGAUGGCAGAAACAUGUUAUUCCAGAAUGACCAGGCUUGGGUAGAGCUGGAGAAAAAUGUUGAUUCCCUUCUUCAAGGUUUGUGGUGGUAGAAUGUUGGCAGCCUUCCAGUUUAUUAAAACAACAACCCAAUGCUGAUCUUCUCUCUGUAUACACAAUUCAAGGAUGGAUCAUUUACUCAAACAGAGCUGUUCACUGAGGAAAGCCAUCGGAAUGGGUCACAUUACAAACGAGACUCCAGAUCAAAGGAUAACUACUGCCGCGGUGGGUCAAGCUGAUCUGAACUGUGCCAACCAGAUCAGCAUGAAAUUCUAAACCCUGGGCCAAGAAAACAUGUCUCUCUCAAACUGAGA